CCAGAGCCUGAAUCAGUAUGUGUGUUAGUGGAAGCGUCUGGAAAGGCGCGCGAUACAGGGUGACAGCCCCGUACACAAAAAUGCACAUGCUGUGAGCUCGAUGAGUAGGGCGGGACACGUGGUAUCCUGUCUGAAUAUGGGGGGACCAUCCUCCAAGGCUAAAUACUCCUGACUGACCGAUAGUGAACCAGUACCGUGAGGGAAAGGCGAAAAGAACCCCGGCGAGGGGAGUGAAAAAGAACCUGAAACCGUGUACGUACAAGCAGUGGGAGCACGCUUAGGCGUGUGACUGCGUACCUUUUGUAUAAUGGGUCAGCGACUUAUAUUCUGUAGCAAGGUUAACCGAAUAGGGGAGCCGAAGGGAAACCGAGUCUUAACUGGGCGUUAAGUUGCAGGGUAUAGACCCGAAACCCGGUGAUCUAGCCAUGGGCAGGUUGAAGGUUGGGUAACACUAACUGGAGGACCGAACCGACUAAUGUUGAAAAAUUAGCGGAUGACUUGUGGCUGGGGGUGAAAGGCCAAUCAAACCGGGAGAUAGCUGGUUCUCCCCGAAAGCUAUUUAGGUAGCGCCUCGUGAAUUCAUCUCCGGGGGUAGAGCACUGUUUCGGCAAGGGGGUCAUCCCGACUUACCAACCCGAUGCAAACUGCGAAUACCGGAGAAUGUUAUCACGGGAGACACACGGCGGGUGCUAACGUCCGUCGUGAAGAGGGAAACAACCCAGACCGCCAGCUAAGGUCCCAAAGUCAUGGUUAAGUGGGAAACGAUGUGGGAAGGCCCAGACAGCCAGGAUGUUGGCUUAGAAGCAGCCAUCAUUUAAAGAAAGCGUAAUAGCUCACUGGUCGAGUCGGCCUGCGCGGAAGAUGUAACGGGGCUAAACCAUGCACCGAAGCUGCGGCAGCGACGCUGAUGCGUUGUUGGGUA
rnacentral:rRNA from 1 species